CAAUGAGGAAUUAAAUAAAUCAAAAGUUGGAAUUACCGACUGAUUGUAUAGUGAUGAUUUGAUCGACUAUCUGAGG